rnacentral:pre_miRNA from 1 species
AGGAGCAACAGCCCCAGUGGCGGGGCCAGCUCUGGAGCCCUGGAGUCAGCCUCGGCUGUAACUCCGGAGCUCUCCUCUGCAGGGGCCUGGAGGCUCCGGGGCGGG